UACAAAGUGUCAGGAUUCCCAAGAGU
rnacentral:piRNA from 1 species